ACGCAAAAGCAGAAGCACCCGCUUCUCACCUCUUCGGCGCAGGCUGACAGGUUCGCGAUCAUGGAAUGAUAACUGCAUUGCCUUUUAUCGGCAUGCAAUGAAUUUCAAUGGACGUUGAUGUGAUGCGGGUUCUAUGAGCCCGCAUCUUUUUAUUUUU
rfam:Paenibacillus sp. 1DrF-4 scaffold18, whole genome shotgun sequence.